GAUGAACGCUGGCGGCGUGCUUAACACAUGCAAGUCGAUCGGAAAGGCUCCUGCUUGCAGGGGCACUCGAGUGGCGAACGGGUGAGUAACACGUGGGUGAUCUGCCCUGCACUUCGGGAUAAGCCUGGGAAACUGGGUCUAAUACCGGAUAGGACCAUCGUUUAGUGUCGGUGGUGGAAAGUUUUUUCGGUGUGGGAUGAGCUCGCGGCCUAUCAGCUUGUUGGUGGGGUAAUGGCCUACCAAGGCGUCGACGGGUAGCCGGCCUGAGAGGGUGUACGGCCACAUUGGGACUGAGAUACGGCCCAGACUCCUACGGGAGGCAGCAGUGGGGAAUAUUGCACAAUGGGCGCAAGCCUGAUGCAGCGACGCCGCGUGGGGGAUGACGGCCUUCGGGUUGUAAACUCCUUUCGCCAGGGACGAAGCGAAAGUGACGGUACCUGGAGAAGAAGCACCGGCUAACUAUGUG
rnacentral:rRNA from 1 species